rnacentral:rRNA from 1 species
UACAGAGGUGGCAAGCGUUGUUCGGAAUUACUGGGCGUAAAGGGCGCGUAGGCGGCCUUCUAAGUCAGACGUGAAAUCCCCCGGCUUAACCUGGGAACUGCGUCUGAUACUGGGAGGCUUGAGUAUGGGAGAGGGAUGUAGAAUUCCAGGUGUAGCGGUGAAAUGCGCAGAUAUCAGGAGGAACACCAAUGGCGAAGGCAGCACUCUGGGACGUGACUGACGCUGAGACGCGAAAGCGUGGGGAGCAAACGGG